UGGGGAAUAUUGGACAAUGGGGGAAACCCUGAUCCAGCGACGCCGCGUGUGUGAAGAAGGCCUGCGGGUUGUAAAGCACUUUCGGUGGGAACGAAAUGUGCCGGGCUAAUACCCCGGUAAGCUGACGUUACUCAAUGAAGAAGCACCGGCUAACUCUGUGCCAGCAGCCGCGGUAAUACGAAGGUGGCAGGCGUUGUUCGGAUUUACUGGGCGUACAGGGAGCGUAGGCGGUUGGGUAAGCCCUCCGUGAAAUCUCCGGGCCUAACCCGGAAAGUGCGGAGGGGACUGCUCGGCUAGAGGAUGGGAGAGGAGCGCGGAAUUCCCGGUGUAGCGGUGAAAUGCGUAGAGAUCGGGAGGAAGGCCGGUGGCGAAGGCGGCGCUCUGGAACAUAUCUGACGCUGAGGCUCGAAAGCGUGGGGAGCAAACAGGAUUAGAUACCCACGUAGUCCCUGAGCGGGCUGGCAAGGCG
rnacentral:rRNA from 1 species